rfam:Aerococcus viridans ATCC 11563 = CCTG 4311 strain ATCC 11563 contig00057, whole genome shotgun sequence.
UAUUGAGAUAGAGGUGCGGAGCUUAUCAGUACAUACCCGAGCGGGAGCGUUGAAAGUAUGGAAAGGAAUAUUCGCCGAAAUAUUUUAACCCCAAGUUAAAGUAUUGGGCAUAAACAAAAAAUGUUUAUGACUGUCACUUAACCAAGUGAUGCGCUAUCCUAGGA